UUAAUCAUUAAUUCAGGUACGCUAAACCAACAGCUGCUGUUAAAACAACUAGUGUCUUAAAUCAAUUAGAAUGUCUACUUCAUUUCCAUCUAAUUUAUAAUAGUUGAGAUAAAUUUGCUUUAUUUUUUUCCCGCAAUAUCAGAUCUUAUACAUACACCAAGGUGCCUCUUUAAACAGCAUGAAAGAUCCAAAAAAAAAUUCUGAAAUGGAUGGAAUUACUUCUAAAAGCUCCUGACUGACUAACUGGCAUAAUUAUGGGUUAAGUAGGGAGCCAGUGGCCAUAUUUAGUACAGGUACACCUUGUUAAGUCAUGUUUCGGCUUUACUGGCAUCAAUUUUGUCAAUUUGACAAUUGUCAAAUAAAAAAGUCAGUUUUGAUUUGACUGUUUUUGGAAGGGAUCAUCAGUGCAGACAAUUCCAGACGAUGAUUUCUUCAUCUGGAGUGAGUUCGGGAUAUUUUUCUUCCUCCUUGGGUUGCCACACAUCAACAAUGAGGGCUGCGCCUGCCAUGCAUGUGUAUAAAUUCUGCCCCAAUAUGAACUGGCAGGAAGGAUCUGAAGAAGAAGGUCACAUCCAAAAACUAAGACUUGGCUACAGUGGCGUCCUCAUGAAGUCAUCAUCUCUGACGUGCAGCAGCCCGAGGAGGAAGAGAGAGAUCCGGACCCUACUCUAGAUGAAGAAAUCAUCACCAUCCAGUAAUGAAUCACACUUCAAAUGGUUGAAACUUUUGUAAAAUGGGAAGGUAAGCUGUUUUAACGUUUUUUGGGGGGUGCAAGCAACCUCAUUAACCUGCAGUUUCAGAUAACCCGCGGCCUGAUUUUGUGGACCCCAACUUGCACGUGUUAACGGGGUUCACCUGUAUUUUUAAGAGUCUACCUGUAGAACCAGUGCCUGAAUGUGUUUAGGAGCAGAGAUUAUAUAACGGCUGAGUGGAUCCUUGUCAUUUGAUUGGUGCUUUGUAUGUCACAUGACAUGGAUUAAUUUAUCCCAUUUGUGUUGCAUUGCAUUUAGAGUGCAGCUUGGUUCCAUACGU